rnacentral:rRNA from 1 species
AGACAGAUUAGUGGCGCACGGGUGAGUAAUGCAUAGAUGACAUGCCCUUUAGUUUGGGAUAGCCACUAGAAAUGGUGAUUAAUACCAAAUACUACCCUACGGGGGAAAGAUUUAUCGCUAAAGGAUUGGUCUAUGUCCUAUCAGCUUGUUGGUGGGGUAAAGGCUCACCAAGGCUAUGACGGGUAUCCGGCCUGAGAGGGUGAACGGGCACACUGGAACUGAGACACGGUCCAGACUCCUACGGGAGGCAGCAGUAGGGAAUAUUGCUCAAUGGGGGAAACCCUGAAGCAGCAACGCCGCGUGGAGGAUGAAGGUUUUAGGAUUGUAAACUCCUUUUGUGAGAGAAGAUC